GACUAUAAAAAAAAAUGCGUAGUUUGCAUGCAAGCAAUGCCACUCAAAUGCUGGGACAAUUGAAUCAGCAGCCUUCACGGCUCACAGAUCAGAUAGUGGUAACCAUUGUUAAUGGGUAAGAUAUGACCGGUCUUGACUAGAGUUAGUUAAGAAUCAACGUUCCGUAGGUGAACCUGCGGAAGGAUCAUUAAAGGUUUAGGGUACCCAGUGCCCAAACUUCAACCCUAAUGUCUUCUAUAACUUGUUUCUUUGCCGGUUUCGACCGGCAGAAGAUUUCUCAAACCCAUCGUGAAAUUGUGUCUUCUGAAUUUCAAAAGAAAAUAAAUUAAAACUUUCAACAACGGAUCUCUUGGUUCUGGCAUCGAUGAAGAACGCAGCGAAAUGCGAUAAGUAAUGUGAAUUGCAGAAUUCAGUGAAUCAUCGAAUCUUUGAACGCAUAUUGCGCCCUUUGGCAUUCCGAAGGGCAUACCUGUUCGAGCGUCAGUACACCCCUCAAACUGAACUGUUUGAUGUUGGGCAACGCCUGGAGGCGUGCCUAAAAUUUAGCGACGGUACAUUAAACCUCAAGCGCACAGAUGUCGUUAUGUGGGCAAGAUGGCACCAGUCUCUUCGUGAUUUCUGA
rnacentral:rRNA from 1 species